rnacentral:sRNA from 1 species
CAAGGAGAUCUCUGAAUCUCCUGACUCUUGGUUGUUUGUGAUAAAAGAGCAGUCAGUUCUGAUCUUCUGGGAGGAUUUCAGUUUCCAGACAUCAGUCAAGAAUCUGAUUCUCCAUUUGUUUUCAUCUGCAAAAAUCCUCAGGAAAUGGUUGUGAAGUUUCCUAUUAAAGGAAAUCCAAAAAUCUGGAAAUUGGAUUCCAAGAUCCAUCAAGGAGCAAAGAAGGGGUUAAUGAAGCAGAAUAAAGCUGUCUGACCCAGGAGAAAAGGAACUAUAAAGCAUAGUGGAGUUUUGUGUACUAAAAUUGCUAUCUACUUGUCCUUUGGAAUUGAAGUAGUAGAAACCUAAAGGCUUGGCGUCAGGCUUGAAUAUCUCAGAACUUAAACUCUUACCAAAAUCUGUAUAUUUUUCUUAAGGAGUGGGAUUC